rnacentral:rRNA from 1 species
UNUUCCGGUUGAUCCCGCCGGACCCCACUGCUAUCGGGAUAGGACUAAGACAUGCUAGUCGUGUGCCUCAGCCAAAACGAGGCACGGCGCACAGCUCAGUAACACGUGGCUAACCUGCCCUUAGGACGAGAAUAACCCCGGGAAACUGGGGCUAAUGCUCGAUAGGUGAAGAACUCUGGAAUGAGUCUUCACUUAAAAGAGUCUGCGUUAUGCUCGUAGAUUUCGCUUAAGGAUGGGGCCGCGACCGAUCAGGUUGUUGGUGAGGUAAUGGCUCACCAAGCCUUUUACCGGUGCGGGCCGUGAGAGCGGGAGCCCGGAGAUGGGCACUGAGACAAGGGCCCAGGCCCUACGGGGCGCAGCAGUCGCGAAAACUUUGCAAUACACGAAAGUGUGACAGGGCUAUCCCGAGUGCCAUCCGCUGAGGAAGGCUUUUACCCAGUCUAGAACGCUGGGGGAAUAAGGAGAGGGCAAGUCUGGUGUCAGCCGCCGCGGUAAUACCAGCUCUCCGAGUGGUGUGGAUGUUUAUUGGGCCUAAAGCAUCCGUAGCUGGCUAAGUUAGUCCCCUGUUAAAUCCAACGAAUUAAUCGUUGGAUCGCGGGGGAUACUGCUUGGCUAGGGGACGAGAGAGGCAGACGGUAUUUCCGGGGUAGGGGUGAAAUCCUAUAAUCCCGGGAAGACCACCAGUGGCGAAGGCUGUCUGCUAGAACGCGCCCGACGGUGAGGGAUGAAAGCUGGGGGAGCGAACCGGAUUAGAUACCCGGGUAGUCCCAGCUGUAAACGAUGCAGGCUAGGUGUUUGGACGGCCACGUGCCGUUCUAGUGCCGCAGGGAAGCUGUUAAGCCUGCCGCCUGGGGAGUACGAUCGCAAGAUUGAAACUUAAAGGAAUUGGCGGGGGAGCACCACAAGGGGUGAAGCUUGCGGUUUAAUUGGAGUCAACGCCGGG